UUAUAUAAUUAUUAUUAUUAUUUUAUUUAUUGUAAUAUUGAAAUUAUGAAAUAUAUUUAUUUAUAGGUUUAAUAAAAUUGAUUAUUGUUUAUUUAUAUUAUAGUUUAUUAGUAUCGAAAGAGAAUUUUAGUAUUUAUUUUUAUAGAAAGAUUUAAGUGUUUUACCUUUUGUAUUAGGGAUGAACUAUUAUAUAUAUUAUUUUUAUGUUCUCGAAUAUAGAAUUGAUCUAAUUAAAAUAAAUAUAUUAUUGUUUCAUUAAUAAGGGUAAGUUUUAAUUAGGGAUGAAAUGUUUUUCGUAAUCUAAUAUAUCUAGUUUUUGUGAAAUAAUUUAUUUAUUAUUAAAUUCAAGGGAUAAUUUUUGAUUUAUUAUUUAUAAAAAAAAUAAAUAAAUUAAUAUUUUGAUUUGAUAGUAUUAAUAAUUUAAAGUGUGUUUAUACUUAAAUUUUUGUUUGAUUUUUAUUUUUGUUAUAAAAUAUAUUAAUUAAUUUUUAUUAAUAGUGAAAGUGUUUAUAUUAGUAUAUUUAUAUUAUAUUAAUUAUAAUUUAUUAUUUUAUUUUGAAUAAAGGAAUUCGGCAAAUUUAUUUUUCGCCUGUUUAUCAAAAACAUGUCUUGUUGUAUAAAUAAUAAUAAGUUUAACCUGCCCACUGAUAAGUAUUUUUAAAUGGCCGCAGUAUAUUAACUGUGCAAAGGUAGCAUAAUAAUUUGUCUUUUAAUUGGAGACUGGAAUGAAUGGUUGGACGUGAAAAUGACUGUCUCUAUUCUUUAUAUUGAAUUUUACAUUUAAGUGAAAAGGCUUAAAUUUUAUUAAGGGACGAGAAGACCCCAUCAAGUUUUAUAAAUAUAAUUAUUUAUUUUUUCAUAUUUAAGUAUUUAAUUUAUUUUUCUGGGGUGGAAGAAAUAGUAUAUCUUUUUUUAAUUUUAAUAACUAUUAAGUUUAUUAUUGAAUUUUAAUUUAAAAUAAUAUGAUUAAAUUACUGUGGGGGUAACAGCGUUAUUUCUUUUUAGAGUUCAUAUUAAUAAAUAAGAUUGCGACCUCGAUGUUGGAUUAAUUUUACCUUAUGGUGAAGAAGUUAUAUAGGUAAGUCUGUUCGACUUUUAAUAAAUUACAUGAUCUGAGUUCAGACCGGCGUAAGCCAGGUCAGUUUCUAUCUUUAAUAAAUUUAUUUUUAUAUUGUUUAGUACGAAAGGACCAAUAAU
rnacentral:rRNA from 1 species